ACAUGCAAGUCGAACGAUCCGUGGUCUUCGGACCACAAUGGAUAGUGGCGCACGGGUGAGUAACGCGUGGGAACAUACACUGGAGUACGGAAUAACUCAGGGAAACUUGUGCUAAUACCGUAUACGCCCUCAGGGGGAAAGAUUUAUCGCUCCAGAAUUGGCCCGCGUUAGAUUAGGUAGUUGGUGAGGUAAAAGCUCACCAAGCCGACGAUCUAUAGCUGGUUUGAGAGAAUGAUCAGCCACACUGGGACUGAGACACGGCCCAGACUCCUACGGGAGGCAGCAGUGGGGAAUAUUGGACAAUGGGGGCAACCCUGAUCCAGCCAUGCCGCGUGAGUGAAGAAGGCCCUCGGGUUGUAAAGCUCUUUCAGUUGUGAAGAUGAUGACGGUAACAACAGAAGAAGCCCCGGCUAACUUCGUGCCAGCAGCCGCGGUAAUACGAAGGGGGCUAGCGUUGUUCGGAAUUACUGGGCGUAAAGCGCACGUAGGCGGCGUACCAAGUCAGAGGUGAAAGCCCAGGGCUCAACCCUGGAACUGCCUUUGAUACUGGUAUGCUAGAAUUCGAGAGAGGGUAGUGGAAUUCCUAGUGUAGAGGUGAAAUUCGUAGAUAUUAGGAAGAACACCAGUGGCGAAGGCGGCUGCCUGGCUCGAUAUUGACGCUGAGGUGCGAAAGCGUGGGGAGCGAACAGGAUUAGAUACCCUGGUAGUCCACGCCGUAAACGAUGAGUGCUAGUUGUUGGGGCCUUAGGUCUCAGUGACGUAGUUAACGCGUUAAGCACUCCGCCUGGGGAGUACGGUCGCAAGAUUAAAACUCAAAGGAAUUGACGG
rnacentral:rRNA from 1 species